CGAGUGGCGGACGGGUGAGUAAUGUCUGGGAAACUGCCUGAUGGAGGGGGAUAACUACUGGAAACGGUAGCUAAUACCGCAUAACGUCGCAAGACCAAAGAGGGGGACCCUCGGGCCUCUUGCCAUCGGAUGUGCCCAGAUGGGAUUAGCUUGUUGGUGGGGUAACGGCUCACCUAGGCGACGAUCCCUAGCUGGUCUGAGAGGAUGACCAGCCACACUGGAACUGAGACACGGUCCAGACUCCUACGGGAGGCAGCAUG
rnacentral:rRNA from 1 species